UGAUUUCAGUGGGAACUACGGGAAGAG
rnacentral:sRNA from 1 species